rnacentral:rRNA from 1 species
UACGUAGGGCGCAAGCGUUGUCCGGAAUUAUUGGGCGUAAAGAGCUCGUAGGCGGUCUGUCGCGUCUGCUGUGAAAGUCCGGGGCUCAACUCCGGAUCUGCGGUGGGUACGGGCAGACUAGAGUGAUGUAGGGGAGACUGGAAUUCCUGGGUGUAGCGGUGAAAUGCGCAGAUAUCAGGAGGAACACCAAUGGCGAAGGCAGAUCUCUGGGCCGUAACUGACGCUGAGGAGCGAAAGCAUGGGGAGCGAACAGG